CUGUGACUUGCUCGGAGUUGCUGUGCUUCAUGCAUCCAUGUAGUCCUCUAUGAGAGUAUCCCUCCGGUCCAAAUAGUCAUGUCCAUGAUUUUGAGUUGCUGUGCAGCUGUGCUUCAGACAUCCAUGCAGUCCCCUAAGGGAUCGCCAUCCAGGUCCAUUUUUCGUCAAAUUGUUGCGCCCAUGCUUCGAGUGUGUGUGCAUCAGGC